CGCAAGCCCGCGGCUCUGCCUGGGAAAUCCGAGCGGCGGCGGCCAUCUUGCGUAUGGAGCUGCUCCCGCCCCGCGCGUCUCUCCCGCUCGGCUUUGUAGCUUCCUCUCGGACGGCCUUUCGCGCUCUCGGAGAUGCCCUAUAGUGAAAUUGAAGCUAAGUUUUUGGGACCUGGAAAAGAACUAACAAGGGAACCAUGCUCUAAAAAAUUGAAGUCAGCUGCAGAUGAUUGUGUUUUGUCCCAUCGAGGUGGUCCUGAAAGUCACAGACUCCAAGAGAAAACCAGAAAUAAUAGGAUCCCCGUGGCCACCAUUAACUUCAGAAGACGUAUUUGUCCUGAGGAAGACAAAACCACAACUACAGAUGUGUUGAAGCCUUCGUACAAGGAGAUGCCUGGUGAUAAACUAGGUGCUGCUGAAGCCAUUGGUUCGAAAGCUUUGCAGGAUGGAAAGCCUUCGUCACUAUCCAAGGAUGACGAAAUCUAUAGCACAAGUAAAGCAUUCAUAGGCCCCAUUUACAAACCCCCUGAAAAGAAGAAAUGCCGAGAAAGGAAGCACGAGACGGACAGUUUCAGUAGUGUAGAUGACAAAAGAAGACGAGAAGAAAAACAGAAGUUUAUCUCCAAAAAAGUGGAGAUUGACACGGAAUUAUCCCAGUUUUACAAAGAAAUUGAAGAGCUGGAAAAUGAAAAUGAUGCUUCACAAGGCAGUUGUAAGGUACCAGAGCCUUCCCCAGAACAAAUUAUUCCUUAUGACCAGGCCUGUGGUACCUUAAAGUCCGAGGAAGAAAGUAAAGACCUCAGUAGUGCUCUCCAGUCACAUUGUGGUUACCAGCAGUACUUGGAGAAUGAACCAGGCAGACAUCCCUGUGAUGAACAAGUGAUGCCUCCGUUUUGUGAUACUUCAUUCUCUUCCUUCGGGCCUGAAUGGCAGUCAAUACAUCCUUUUGUCAUACCCCAUGGUCCUCCUCUUCCCAGUUUUAAUUAUCAUUUUAAUAUUCCAAGAUUCAAUGCCCCACUAAAUCCACCACCAAAUAUUUUCCAUGGGCAAGAUGACUCUCAGAUGCAGAACGGGUGUUACGUAGAUAGUUGUCAGGAUAGCUGGAACUGUUUAACUUUUGAUCAGAACGAUGAGUAUGUUCAUUAUGGUGUGACCAGCAAUACUGUUCAGCCCUUUAGAAAUGGCUACAGUGUGCAGGAUGAAAGUGUGAGUGAUGGUUUCUGUGAAAUCAGAGAGUGCUGGAGAGAGCCUUUUCUGGGAGAGCGCAGUGGAGCAGACAGGUUGGUGAGCCAGUGGUUUCCAGAGGAGAAGCUAAACAAAUUGCAGAAAUUACUUAUUCUUCUGCGAGGCCUCCCUGGUUCUGGAAAAACAACAUUGUCUCGAAUUCUGCUUGGUCAGAGUCGCGAUGGCAUCGUGUUCAGCACUGAUGACUAUUUUCAUCAUCAAGAUGGGUACAGGUACAAUGUUAAUCAACUUGGUGAUGCCCAUGACUGGAACCAGAGCAGAGCAAAACAAGCUAUCGAUCAGGGGAGAUCUCCAGUUAUAAUAGACAAUACUAAUACACAAGCCUGGGAAAUGAAACCAUAUGUGGAAAUGGCCAUAGGAAAAGGAUACAGAGUAGAGUUUCAUGAACCGGAAACUUGGUGGAAGUUUGAUCCUGAAGAAUUAGAAAAGAGGAAUAAACAUGGUGUGUCUCGGAAGAAGAUUGCUCAGAUGUUGGAUCGUUAUGAAUUUCAAAUGUCCAUCUCUAUUGUGAUGAAUUCAGUGGAACCACCACAGAAAAGCACACAAAGACCCCUCCCUCUCCCGGGGGAGCCGAGAGGGAGACUUUUGAAGAAGAGUGGGUACCGGUUUGACAGACCCAAACAGAAGAGAAACAGAAGAGGAAAGAAAAGGAACAACAGUUUCCGUGAGAACUCCCCUGCAGCCUUAGGUCAGGGCCCGUCUCAAAGCCAGGGGGAAGGUUUUGAAGAGACCAAGCGAGAACCAGGGCAUCCCUUUGCUGGCGGCCUACAGAAUGAAGCAGCGGAUUGUGUAGAUGGCUCUGAAGAGCAAAGCUGCAAAGACAGGGAGAACUCAACCAGUUUCCAAAAUGUCGUGUCUGCAGUUGAGGUGGACCACACACCGAAGAGCUGCUUCCCCGAGGAGGAGGAAGAGGAGGCGGAGGGGGAGGGCCUGUUUCUAACUUUGCCUUCGGUACCAAGUGAAGGGUCUGCCUGCUGGGACACGAGCACUCAGCAUCGUCCUUGUGUAGUGAAGGAUGGCUGCUCAGACAGGAGGGCGGGAAGCCAGGUGAGAAGUGGACGUAACUCAGCCGCAGACAAGCAGGACACAGUUGCUAAAACUCCACGUUCGUUUGCACAGAAGACAGAAACGGCAGGUCAGAGUUGCCCUGAUGAGUUUGCUCCACGUCGUCGUCAGAGUGGAGCCAGAAUGUCGGAGGAAAUAUUACGAGAGGAACACGGAGUUAGAAGCGAUCGCUGGGCUUUUUUUACAGUUAGUUUGUUUGAUGAAGAAUUGGAGAUAAAGUCUGAGAGUCAGCCAUAUGUGGGUGGUUGGCCCCAGGGACCCCAUGAGUUUGUGUGUGAGCAGAGACCCAAGAAAGACAGAUCUCGGAGACUGACCCGUCCUGAUAGCGAGGAACAGUGCAUUAAGCUGAUUUCCGCUCCUGAAGGAGCAGCGGGCUCGGGAAGCGGCCCAGAAACACCAAUGAAGAAGCAGCCGAGAGAUUUGUCCCCCAAAGCUGGGGUGGUGGAUUUACCCAGAAACCCAGAAACAGCUGUCUCCAGCACCUGUGCCCCCCAUCUCGACUCCCCAGAGCACCCCUUAGAACCAGCAAAGGGUAUACAAGGGGUGCAGCGGAUUUGCGAUUUGUCACCGAACAAACAGACUCCUAUCAACCCAGAAACAAAGGAGAAAUGUGACCUCUUAACAGAAAAUCAUGAGCUGAACACUUUCUUAUCAGGGGAAGAUAUUUCCAAAAUAAUCAAUAAAGAUGAGACAAAGCCAAAAAUGAUGGUCUUUGACUGUCGUCUGCCACGGUUUUACCUUGACUCUCCUCCAAGUAUUGUCCGCCAGUCUCGCUCUUACCGUCUGCCAUUUAACAGAGUAGGGUGUGCUGUGUAUUUUUAUAAAAACCCUGUCCCUUCUCUCUUGCUACAUUAUCUAUCUAGCUUUUGCGUGCUAUCUUUUAACGACAGAAGAGCACUUUUGACACUCGAGUCUCAGAAAGGCCUGGCUAGGACACUCACCGAUGGAGGCUUUAUUCCCUCAGACGAUCUGAGUGGCCAGCCUGCUCCUCAUUGCUUUUCGCGGAUUUUCUCCGAGAGGCUGGAUGAAGAGCUGAAGACAUGGGGAGCCUGGGAGCCGGGGGACUGCUCAGCAGCUGAAGACUGCCAGGACUUAAUAAGCAGGACCCGUCGGAGCCGGGGGCCGUUAUCACAGAGAUGCUUGCCUUCCGCCCGUCCCAACGGUGUGGAUCUCGCGGAGUCCCAAUAGGUAAACCGGUUUAUUUAUGAAAAAUACAAGUCCAAACCCGGCAGGGUCAUGCAAACCUUUAAUCCCAGCACUCGGGAGGCAGAAGCAGGCAGAUUUCUGAGUUCGAGGCCAGCCUGGUCUACAAAGAGAGUUCCAAGAAAGCCAGGGUUGUUAUACGGAGAAAUCCUGUCUGGAAAAGACAAAAACAAACAAAGAACCAAAAGUCUAGUUUAACAUAUGCAAAUACUUUCGGUCAUGGGGCCUCUCCUGUGGUAGUGACGUCAUGUUGAUCUUAUGAAUCACCGCAGCAGUGAAAGUGACCCAUGGUGAACUUAGCAAGCUGCCACCCCUUGCGCGAGUCCUUGUAAAUGUCUGAGUCCCCUGCUGGAGAGGUGGCACAGCAGUUAAAAGCACUGGCUGCUCUUGCCGUGGACCCAGGUUUGGUUCCCAGCACCCACAUGAUGACUCACAACCAUCUACUACUCCAGGUCCAAGGCGUCUGAUGCCCUCUUCUGGCCUCCAUGGAUACCAGGCAUAGAUGUGUAUUGAAGGCCGUGCACUCUGAGGUGGCCCUUGAGGAGAGUCGUUCACUGCACAUGUUUGUGUCCAGCCCUCAACUGGGUCAGACUCCUGUUUGCUUGACCUGAAAGCAUCUCGUCCGUCCAUCGCUGGUGUCCUCCUUUGGUCCACAGUGGGAGCCUCACUGUUCCUGAGGGCUGCGCAUCUUCUGCAGGGAGCUGGUGGAGGACCGGCGUGGACUGUUACUCAGGAGACCGGAAGAGUAGUACACAGCCGUUUCCUUUGUUCAGGUCCUUGUUGCUUUUGUUUUUCGAGACCGGCUUUCUCUGUGUAGCCCUGGCUGUCCUGGAUCUUGCUCUCUGUAGCUCAAGCUGGCCUCGAACUCACAGAGAUCCUCCUGCCUCUCCCUCCUGAGUGCUGGGAUUAAAGGUGUGCACCACUACCGCCUGGCUUUUUCUUUUAAAUUAUUAUUAUUAAUUAAUGGUGAUGUAAGUGAAGCUGGAGGCACUCCAGGGCACAUUUUGGAAUUAGUAGUAAAAUUUAAGUUUAAAGAUAAAACGUGGAGCUGUUGCUUAAGGGUAGCAGGUAUUUCUUACAAGCACAUCUGGUACAAACUUAUUUCUCUCCUUAGUCCUGGGGGAGGCCAUAUUGUCAUUCAUGCCCACACAGAGAGCAGUGCCGAACGUGUUCGGACUGACGUGUGCUUGUAAUGUUUCUUUCGACAUUUGAGGACUGUCUGCACAGGAGAAUGAAUCCUUUCAUGUGUCUCAAUUAUCAUUUCUAGAAAAGGCGGCAGAAGAAUCUUGGUAAAAAUGAGAAUCCUGUGAGCUGUAAGUACUUCUCGUUGCAGAGACCUCAAUAUGGUCAGAAGGAAAUGAGUGUUGACAUCGCCUGGUUGUAAUAGCGCAGAGGCACUGCAGUUGAAGAGUUGUUACCAUAGCAACCCUGUCUGUGCUCUUGCGUGUUCAAUGCUUCUCCUCAAUCGCACAUCUUUGUGUGAACGACAACAAAGCUUGGAUUGUUGCUCCCAAGAUUUAUUCCCCAUUUCAUUAGUUAGACUGCAUCUCUGAGCAUGCUGUUGACAGUGUGUGAGAUCCCACACACACGCCACUGGUAUGUGAGCAGAGCCAGGAGUUAGGGCUGUAGGUUAUGCGUAAAUAUUGUACAUUAGCGGAUGCUCUAAGGAAAGAGAUGGCACGGAUAGACCCUCGUGUCAUACGCUGUACUUGACAUCGAGAGUGACAUUGAAACAAGCAUGUGGCGCUCGCUCUCCCCGGAAUCGACGUUAUGAAGUAAAUACGUCUGCUGGGACUGUCAGUGUGUGCGUGUCUGGGUCUGAUAAGAAUGGGACGCACGUGUGUUUGGCACGGCUUCUCCCUUCAGUAAUGCAUUUCUACGGGCAAUCUGUGUGAUCUCAGUGAGAAACACGUGUGCUCAGUUUCCUUUUCGCCUGGAAGACAGCAGUGGCUGCUCAGGAGGAGUUGAGAGAGCUGGAGAGACCUAUCGUAGGAGCGGAGUGCUAACAGACUGUGAGGACCCGAGAAGGGGUCAGACCUCCGUGUUGUUCCCCAGUGGACUGCGUUGCCUGCAUUAGACACGGGUCCGCAUAUCGAGAGGACAGCAGUGAGACACCCCCCCCCCCAGCCCUCCUGUGCUAUGACAGGGCACAGUUGGGGAUGUUCUCCUUCCGCUACGUGAGGUGGUCCUAGCGUGGACCAGGAGGUCCUGUGCAGGUAACGUGCAGCGAGCCUGGCUGAGUCGAGGACAUGCUCUGUAUGCACUUUCCGUUUUAAAGUCACCGCCCCUGCCCAGCGCUCUUCAUGGCUCUGGCCUUCCCACCAACAGCCUGGUUCCAAUUCUUUUUCUUUUCUUUUUUUUUAAAAAAAUUUUUUUAAAGAUUAUUUAUUAUGUAUACAGUGUUCUGUCUGCACUUAUCCCUGCAGGCCAGAAGAGGGCACCAGAUCUCAUUACAGCUGGUUGUGAGCCACCAUGUGGUUGCCUGCCCUUUUGGUUUGUCAGAAAGUGCUGACGAAUAGGUUUCAAAGGGCAGAUAGAAAUGUCGGAAGAGGCAGGUAGGAGGGGACCCGCUGGGCCGUACAGGUCCCACGGCUCUCUCUGCCUUCUUCACAGCAGUCUGCGCUGGUUGCCUGUGUCGAUAGCCAGUCCUCUGUAGAGGCUGAGGUAGGCCGAGGAUGUGUUCCCGUGUGCCUGUCCACUGUAGAGGCUGAGGUAGGCCGAGGAUGUGUUCCCAUGUGCCUGUCCACUGUGGAGGCUGAGGUAGGCCAAGGAUGUGUUCCCAUGUGCCUGUCCUCGAGCUGCUGUGUGACCCGGAAAAAAAAAAAAAAAUCAUCCUCAAUUGUUUUAGGUGUAAAAGUAAGUUGACAGUCACUUUCUAGUGGAGAUUUUAAAUGGGGAUUAAAUGAAGCAAUGUGUGUAAAGUACUUAGAACAGUGCCUGAAAAGCACUGGGCUCUUACCACGGGUUCACCUGCCUUCUCUCAACACCUCCCUGAGCAAAGCCCUCUGGCAAAACAGACCUCAUGUGAUCCUGGGAGAGGAAACUAUUGAGCUGGGAAACUUGCUUACAAAUUGACAUAAAUCCUUGUAAUGCUCAUUAAUAACUUUUGAACUGUGAAGUGUUGUACCCCAGGGAGUGAAAACAGGAGGGAGAUGGGAUGGGCAGAAGCAGGCAGAGGGGACUGAAGGAACAGUGGGGGUCCUAGAUGCUAGAAGAGUGACCAGGGAAGCAAAGAGGACCUGGGGACAGACUCCUUCCUGCAGCGGAGAUCUCUGCUUCCUGCCUGCUGCUGCUGACAAUCCUCAUCAGUGAGGACAGCCAGGUACCCAGUGCUGACCCUCAGAGGUCCUUGCAGCGAGUGCCUACUGGACCCCAGCACUGGCGUGGAUAAUCGCCCCAGGUGUUGCUCUUGAUAAGUUGUGUCAAUAAAAAAAAAAAAAAAAAGGGCAAGCAGUAACAGUUGGAACACUGCCUGAUGCCAAGAGUUCUGUCACAGCCUCACUUGGCAGAGGAGAAUGAGGCACAGAAAACCCUCGAGUUACUCCAAGAUCAGGAUGGUAGCCUGUGCAAGCACUGGGCUGUGGCCACAACCCUAGAAUUCUGAAAUCCCAAAAGGCUCUAAAAUCCAAAUGUCAUUUUGGUUAUCCAAUCUUUAAAAAUGGUGAAAUAUGCAAUAAACUGAUUACCUUA